rnacentral:rRNA from 1 species
AUAAUACUCCAUAGAUUAGAGACACUGGAAUGUUCUUUAGUCGAAAGUUCCGGCGCCUUAGGAUGGAUCUGCGGUCGAUUAGGUUGUUGUUGGGGUAACGGCCCAACAAGCCUGUAAUCGAUACGGGUUGUGGGAGCAAGAGCCCGGAGAUGGAAUCUGAGACACGAUUCCAGGCCCUACGGGGCGCAGCAGGCGCGAAAACUUUACAAUGCAGGAAACUGUGAUAAGGGAACUCCGAGUGCCCGUAUACGCGGGCUGUCCAGGUGUUUAAAAAUCAUCUGAAGAAAGGGCCGGGCAAGACCGGUGCCAGCCGCCGCGGUAAUACCGGCGGCUCGAGUGGUGGCCACUAUUAUUGGGCUUAAAGCGUCCGUAGCUGGACCGAUAAGUCUCUUGGGAAAUCCGCCGGCUCAACCGGCGGGCGUCUAAGGGAUACUGUUAGUCUAGGGACCGGGAGAGGUGAGAGGUACUCCGGGGGUAGGAGUGAAAUCCUGUAAUCCCCGGGGGACCACCGAUGGCGAAGGCAUCUCACCAGAACGGCUCCGACAGUGAGGGACGAAAGCUGGGGGAGCGAACCGGAUUAGAUACCCGGGUAGUCCCAGCCGUAAACUAUGCGCGUUAGGUGU